UGCGACUAGUGGCGUAGUGGCUAGCGCUGCCGUUUUGUAAACUUGCGACCCGGGUUCGAUUCCACGCGGGGGUAA